GAUGAAGAACGUAGUGAAAUGCGAUAAGUAGUGUGAAUUGCAGAAUUCAGUGAAUCAUCGAAUCUUUGAACGCACAUUGCGCCUCCUGGUAUUCCGGGAGGCAUGCCUGUUCGAGCGUCAUUAAAAUCACUCAAGCUUAGGUUUACCUAUUGCUUGGUCUUGGAGAUGGAAGCCAAUUCAUUGGAAUCCUCUUCGAAAUCCAAUGGCGAAGACCCUUGCUCUCCCAAGUGUAGUAAUAACUUAUGUCACUGAAGGAAGCGAGAAAUCUUCCGCCGUAACCCCCAUAUUUUCUAUGAUUGACCUCGGAUCAGGUAGGGAUACCCGCUGAACUUAAGCAUAUCAAUAAGCGGACGA
rnacentral:misc_RNA from 1 species